rnacentral:rRNA from 1 species
AACGAACGCUGGCGGCGCGCCUAAUACAUGCAAGUCGAGCGAGAAGACGUAGCAAUACGUUUGUAAAGCGGCGAACGGGUGAGGAAUACAUGGGUAACCUACCCUCGAGUGGGGAAUAACUAGCCGAAAGGUUAGCUAAUACCGCGUACGCUCCUUGGACUUCGGUUCAGGGAGGAAAGCGAUACCGUGGGUAUCGCGCUCUUGGAUGGGCUCAUGUCCUAUCAGCUUGUUGGUGAGGUAACGGCUCACCAAGGCUUCGACGGGUAGCUGGUCUGAGAGGACGAUCAGCCACACUGGCACUGCGACACGGGCCAGACUCCUACGGGAGGCAGCAGUAAGGAAUAUUGCGCAAUGGGCGAAAGCCUGACGCAGCGACGCCGCGUGGGGGAUGAAGGU